CUGAGCAUCGGUCGGUUCGGCCGGCCGACCGACCCAAAAAGUACAAACCGACCAACCGACGGUUUGCAUGAUUUAUGGGCCGAACCGGCCGAAGUUUUGAGACCAACCGGCCGAAAACCGAGCCGUCCAAAUAUUCGGUUUUCGACCGACCCAACCGAACCGACUAGUUGAUUGAACUGGCGGCGGCGGCACGGAGGGAGACUGCAGGCCGCGCGACGGCACGUGCUCGGAGAAGCAGCAUCAGCAGUAAAAAAGGGUGGUUACAGGUGAGGCGGCGGCGCGACGGAGGCUGUAGGUCG
rnacentral:lncRNA from 1 species